GACGAACCGUGCAAACGUUAUUCGGAAUCACUGGGCUUAAAGCGCGUGUGAGGCGGGACGGCACGUCGGUCGUUGAAAUCCCCCGGCUCAACCGGGGAAGGGGCGCCGAUACGACCGUCCUGGAGGGGCGUAGGGGGACCGUGGAACUUCCGGUGGAGCGGUGAAAUGCGUUGAGACUCGGAAGGAACGCCCGUGGCGAAAGGCGAGGUCCUGGACGCCUACUGACGCUG
rnacentral:rRNA from 1 species